AUGGCACUCGGCGGCUGCGGCAACGAAGCUGAUGGUGCACGAGCCAACCAUGAAGGCAGUAGCACGGGGCAGCGACAGCAGCAUGGAGGGCGUCCUCUUGUUUGGGAAGGUAAUGGAACUGCAAAUAGGAGUGGCAGCGGCGACCAGGAUGCAUGUCAUAUAAUUUACUUGUUUACUAUUCAAACCUUGAAGAUACGUGCUGAAGAAGAUCAAGAGAAAGAGAGAGAUAUAGAUAAAGAAAUUGAUCCAAGUGCAUUGCUAAUGGAUACCACAAUGUUUGAUGAAACAAACCCAAUAAUGGAGUGGCUGAAUGAGGAUGUAGAGGAUCCGAUUGUGGAUGGAGCUGAUGCAGCUAGUGCUGUUUUUGAGCAAAUAAGGCGCCUCAACUCAAGCAGGAAGGCGUCUUAUGUUGGUUCAAAGGGUAAUAACAAGAAAAGAAAGAGGAAUGAUGAUGAUGAGAAUGAGUUUCUUGAAACUGAGAGUGAGGAUGAUGAAGAAGAGAAUGAAUAUGUUGAUAAUGACAUCGAGGAUGAUGAUGGGGUGAGUGAGGAUGAUGAGGAUGGUGAACAAGAUCAGCUAGAGACACAAAUGCAACUUGAAGAAGAGACACAAGUACAAGUUCAAAAGGAGGCACCAACAAGCACUGGCCAUUUGGAGACUAGAUCUGGACGACUUAUAAGGAAGAAGACCAAGAACGUCAACAGCCUCUACUCGUAA
rnacentral:rRNA from 1 species